UAGGUGUGUGAAUUUUUUCUUAAUAAAAAUGUGAGGCAAUGUGGUAUACAGGGUAGAAAAAUCAAAACUUUGAACAGAUUCAAAAUAAUAUAUUGUGUUACAGUUCUCCAAAAAUUAUCUUCCCUCUCCUGAAUAAAAAAAGAAAAGAUAAUUCUAAGAAAAUUCAUAAUUUUUACUCAGUCCGGGUCCGGCGUCCGGUCCAGGUUUCAUACCAAAGUCCGGGUCCGGUCCGGGUUUCAGUACGUACCUGUGUACACUACUUAUAUCACAAGCCUAUUAAAUGAAAUAAAACAUAUAAAAAUAGUUAAAUGAACAAAUUAAACCUAAACAAGAUGUAGUCUUGAUCGGAUUGUUUGUUUUCGACUGAGGUUUUCGACGUAUUGUAUCAUAUUGUCUAGAAUGCACAAACGCUGGAAAAAGUUAACACUAUUAUUAUAAAAA
rnacentral:lncRNA from 1 species